rnacentral:rRNA from 1 species
GACGAACGCUGGCGGCGUGCUUAACACAUGCAAGUCGAACGGUGAAGCGCCUUCCUUUUUGGUGGGUGUGGAUGAGUGGCGAACGGGUGAGUAACACGUGAGUAACCUGCCCCCUUCUUCUGGAUAACCGCAUGAAAGUGUGUCUAAUACGGGAUAUUCUGGGUCUGUCGCAUGAUGGGUCUGGGAAAGAUAUUGUUUCGGUGGGGGAUGGUCUCGCGGCCUAUCAGCUUGUUGGUGGGGUGAUGGCCUACCAAGGAGGUGACGGGUAGCCGGCCUGAGAGGGUGGACGGUCACAAUGGGACUGAGACACGGCGCAGACUACUACGGGGGGCAGCAGUGGGGAAUAUUGCAGAAUGGGCGCAAGACUGAUGCAGCGACGCCGCGUGAGGGAUGGAGGCCUUCGGGUUGUGAACCUCUUUCGCCAGUGAAGCAGGCCUGCCUCGUUUGUGGGUGGGUUGACGGUAGCUGGAUAAGAAGCGCCGGCUAACUACGUG